rnacentral:misc_RNA from 1 species
UCUCCGUUGGUGAACCAGCGGAGGGAUCAUUACCGAGUUCCGGCUACUCCCAACCCUUGCGACCCGUACCCCAGUCUGUUCUCGUUGCUUCCGGCAGGCGGGGGGGGCCCCCCCGCCGCUCCCCCUGCCGGGUUCGGCGUGCCCUCUUAACCUCUAUAUCCCAACCACUUAAACCCGUCUCAGCCAAACAACAAAUUAUUACAACUUUCAACAACGGAUCCCUUGGCUCUGGCAUCGAUGAAGAACGCCGCCGAUCACCACAGCCCACCUCUGAACCCC